GCGGGAGUAACUCAGCGGUAGAGUGCCUGCCUUCCAAGCAGGUUGUCGCGGGUUCGAGUCCCGUCUCCCGCUCCA
rnacentral:tRNA from 2 species